UUGUCAUCUGACCGCCGUAGGCUCUGAAAUACAGUGGCGGUCCCGCCGGGGCGCCUUCUGCGUAGUAGAUUUACAACUCGCAUUGGGUCCCGUCUGAGGCCAGCCGUCAAACCCUUUAUUCUUAUGGUUUGGCCUCGGGUCAGGUUGGGUUACCCGCUGAACUUAAGCAUAUCAAUAAGCGGAGGAAAAGAAACCACCAGGGAUUGCCUCAGUAACGGCGAGUGAAGCGGCAACAGCUCAAAUUUGAAAUCUGGCCGCCUGUGCGGUCCGGGUUGGAAUUUGAAGAGGAUGCUUUUGGCAAGGUGCCUUCCGAGUGCCCUGGAAUGGGACGCCAUAGAGUGGGAGCGCCCCGUAUGGUCGGUCGCCGAGCCUCUGUAAAGCUCCUUCGACGAGUCGAGUUGGUUGGGAAUGCUGCUCAAAAUGGGAGGUACACCCCUUCU
rnacentral:rRNA from 1 species